ACGAUUAUUUCGAAAUUUUAGACGCUGGAGUUAGAAGUUAUCAUAACUUUGGUUAGCUAGUUUUCAUGUUAUUACGAAUAAACAGAAGUAAAAUGUCAAACGAUAAGGUUGUGCACUGGAAAGAGCUUUUGAAAAGAAGAUUGGCAUCCUCCAUUAAUGCUUCCUGCAGAGGAUGAAGUUCUGCAGAAACUGCGAGAGGAGUCCAGAGCCAUCUUUCUGCAGAGGAAGAGCUUGGAGCUUCUGAACAAAUGAGGAGUUACAGAUCAUGUGGUUUCUGCUCGACAAACACCAAGUGUCACCCAUGACAGGAGAGGAGGCAAUGACAAGCUAUGACUGUUUUCUGAAGUUUGAAGACAAAGCAGGAGUAAAGUGCAAGUGAGUACUCUGCAUAUUAGUCAUUAAUAUUAAAUCUGGUCUUGACUUAGUGUGUAUCUCUUCCGGGACUAUAAGACGUACGUGGACUUUGUUCUGGCUCUGGAGAACAGGAAGAAGCCUGCAGCGCUACAGUACAUCCUCAAGCUGCUGGACAUGGGGAACAAGAUCUACCUCAAUGUCUUCGCUCUCAAUUACUUCUUCAGGGUGAGAUGGACACAUGCCACAUUGGGCCAGAGAUAAUAGAAGUCAAUGGAGACGGCAGACAGUGGGACCUUGCUAUCCUGCUCACUGUAUGAAAAGUGUUGUCAUCUAUUAUGUAAAACAUAAAAAAAUCCACCAGGCCAUUCAGGAGUUGAUGAAAAUCCAUGGGCAGGAGACGAUAUUCUUCCAGGAUGUCAAGGAUGAUAUCUUUGACAUGGUGAAGCCAAAGGAUCCGUGCAGGAUCUAGUGAACAGCAGCCAAUGAGACACAGAAACCAGCAUCCUCAUUGAUUUCAAUGGCUUCUGGACUUUUGAAAACAGAAAAGUUCUGGAUGCUAAUGACAGCGACAACGCUGACCUUGAAAAUACACGAAUCUUCUGUCAAACUGGGAAGGACUGCAAGAGCAACAUUAAAAGGAUGUACAAUGCAUUUGGAAAGUAUUCCUACCCCUUGCUUUUUCCACGUUUUGUUACGUUACAGCCUUAUUCUAAAAUGUAUUAAACAAACAUGUUUCAUCAA